GAGCCAAAGGAAGAGGAGCAAUAACUGUGUCACACUCCCCAUACACAUUUAUGACAACAACCCAUCAUUCCCACGCUAUGUAACUCGCAUCCUAUGCCUCCCCCCACUCCCUAAAUUGCUCCUACUAGUACUACUACUACCAGAAACCAAAAGGUGAAAGCACAACAAUGGCACUUGCUAAUGAAAAAUCUCUAUCUGAUGGAAAAAUUUGGGGUAUUUGUAAACUACCAUUUUGGCAUUCAACUAGUAGCUCUCUGGCUGCUUCUUCUGCUUCUAUUGCUUCUUCUUCUUCAUCAUCUUUUAGGCAACAACAUAAUGGCAUUUCUGUGGAUAAUCACUCUAAUAUUCAUGCUCCUCUUAAGGUUUCUUCUGUAGCCAAAUCACUUCUUCCAACUCGUCGCAAGCUCAGCCUUGAUCCACAAAACAAGCUUUACUUUCCAUAUGAGCCUGGAAAACAAGUCAAGAGUGCUAUUAGAAUCAAGAACAUUAGCAAGAAUCCUGUGGCCUUCAAGUUUCAAACAACUGGGCCAAAAAGUUGUUACAUGCGGCCGCCAGGAGGUAUUCUUGCCCCUGAUGAAAGCCUAAUUGCAACUGUUUUCAAAUUCGUUGAGCCACCUGAUAAUAACGACAAACAAAUUGGCAAGAAGAGCAGGGUAAAGUUCAAAGUUAUGAGCUUAAAAGUAAAAGACGAUGUGGAUUAUGUGCCGGAGCUGUUUGACGAAAGGAGGGAUGAAGUGGCAGUUGAACAAGUAUUAGGUGUUGUUUUCCUUGAUGCUGAACGCCCUUGCCCUGUAAGCACUCGAGAAACUUAACCGCCAGCUAGCUGAAGCUGAGGCUGAAGUCGAGGCACGCAAAAGGCCUCCAGAAGAUACAGGUCCAAAGAUUGUCGGGGAAGGUCUUGUUAUAGACGAAUGGAAAGAAAGAAGGGAAAGGUACCUUGCAAGGCAACAGGUUGAUGGAGUUGAUUUAGUAUAAUAGAAGCUCUCCUUUCUGUGGAUGGUUGAGAAGAAAUUCUAUGAUAAGCUAUUGAAUUUUCAAUACUAUUGCCUGAAGAGCAACAGAUAUACUUAGGCUAUUUUUCAUCUCAAAAAGUGAAAAUUAAUUUUUUUUUUCAUGUAAUUUUUCAAUGCUCUCUAUUCCUGGAUCCUUUUCUUUCAACUCUUGUUUGUAUAUAAGUGAAAAUUGUGAAGUCCCUUCCUUAAUUGAUGAACAAUCACAUACAUUAUGUUGCUUUCUUGA